rnacentral:rRNA from 1 species
AUUCGAUUAGAGUUUGAUCCUGGCUCAGGACGAACGCUGGCGGCGUGCUUAACACAUGCAGUCGAACGAUGACGGUGGUGCUUGCACCGCCUGAUUAGUGGCGAACGGGUGAGUAACACGUGAGUAACCUGCCCUCCACUUCGGGAUAACCUCGGGAAAUCGUGGCUAAUACCGGAUAUGAGCACUCAUCGCAUGGUGGGUGUUGGAAAGAUUUAUCGGUGGGGGAUGGACUCGCGGCCUAUCAGUUUGUUGGUGAGGUGAUGGCUCACCAAGACGAUGACGGGUAGCCGGCCUGAGAGGGCGACCGGCCACACUGGGACUGAGACACGGCCCAGACUCCUACGGGAGGCAGCAGUGGGGAAUAUUGCACAAUGGGCGAAAGCCUGAUGCAGCGACGCCGCGUGGGGGAUGACGGCCUUCGGGUUGUAAACCCCUUUCAGUAGGGAAGAAGCGAGAGUGACGGUACCUGCAGAAGAAGCGCCGGCUAACUACGUGCCAGCAGCCGCGGUAAUACGUAGGGCGCAAGCGUUGUCCGGAAUUAUUGGGCGUAAAGAGCUUGUAGGUGGCUUGUCGCGUCUGCCGUGAAAACCCGAGGCUCAACCUCGGGCGUGCGGUGGGUACGGGCAGGCUAGAGUGUGGUAGGGGAGACUGGAACUCCUGGUGUAGCGGUGAAAUGCGCAGAUAUCAGGAAGAACACCGAUGGCGAAGGCAGGUCUCUGGGCCAUUACUGACACUGAGAAGCGAAAGCAUGGGUAGCGAACAGGAUUAGAUACCCUGGUAGUCCAUGCCGUAAACGUUGGGCACUAGGUGUGGGGGACAUUCCACGUUUUCCGCGCCGUAGCUAACGCAUUAAGUGCCCCGCCUGGGGAGUACGGCCGCAAGGCUAAAACUCAAAGGAAUUGACGGGGGCCCGCACAAGCGGCGGAGCAUGCUGAUUAAUUCGAUGCAACGCGAAGAACCUUACCAAGGCUUGACAUGCACUGGACGGCUGCAGAGAUGUGGCUUUCUUUGGACUGGUGCACAGGUGGU